rnacentral:rRNA from 1 species
UUUAUUUUGGGAGGGGGAAGUUCUGGUGGCCAGCAGCCGGCGGUAUUUCCAGCUCCCAAAAGCCGUAUAUUAAAGUUGUUGCAGUUAAAAAGCUCGUAGUUGAACCUUGGGCUUGGCUGGCCGGUCCAUCUUUUUGAUGCGUACUGGACCCAGCCGAGCCUUUCCUUCUGGGUAGCCAUUUAUGGCGAACCAGGACUUUUACUUUGAAAAAAUUAGAGUGUUCAAAGCAGGCCUUUGCUCGAAUAUAUUAGCAUGGAAUAAUAGAAUAGGACGUUAUGGUUCUAUUUUGUUGGUUUCUAGGACCAUCGUAAUGAUUAAUAGGGACGGUCGGGGGUAUCAGUAUUCAGUUGUCAGAGGUGAAAUUCUUGGAUUUACUGAAGACUAACUACUGCGAAAGCAUUUACCAAGGACGUUUUCAUUAAUCAAGAACGAAAGUUAGGGGAUCGAAGAUGAUCUAGAUACCUUCGUACCCUCCACU